GACGAACGCUGGCGGCGUGCCUAAUACAUGCAAGUCGAACGCAGUGGGGACGGGUGAGUAACACGUGGGUAACCUCCCCUCAGAGGGGAUAACACUUGGAAACAUGUUCUAAACCGAUACUGAUGGAUGAACCCGCGGUGCAUUACCUAGUUGGCGAGGUAACGGCUCACCAAGGGCACGAGGCAUCUGUGACCUGAGAGGGGGAGCGGCCUAACUGGUACUGAGACACGGCCCAUACUCCUACGGGAGGCAGCAGUAGGGGAUCUUGGGCAAUGGACGAAAGUCUGACCGAGCAACGCCGCGUGAGUGAAGAAGGUUUUAGGAUCGUAAACCUCUGUAGUUAGAGAAGCGGUAUCUAACCAGAAAGCCACGGCUAACUACGUGCCAGCAGCCGCGGUAAUUC
rnacentral:rRNA from 1 species